rnacentral:tRNA from 1 species
GCCGGCGUAGCACAGCGGUAGUGCAGCGGUUUUGUAAACCGAAGGUCGGGGCCUUUUCGGCU